rnacentral:rRNA from 1 species
AUUGAACGCUGGCGGAAUGCUUUACACAUGCAAGUCGAACGGCAGCACGGGGCAACCUGGUGGCGAGUGGCGAACGGGUGAGUAAUACAUCGGAACGUGCCCAAUCGUGGGGGAUAACGUAGCGAAAGUUACGCUAAUACCGCAUACGAUCUACGGAUGAAAGCGGGGGAUCGCAAGACCUCGCGCGAAUGGAGCGGCCGAUGUCAGAUUAGGUAGUUGGUGGGGUACAGGCUCACCAAGCCGACGAUCUGUAGCUGGUCUGAGAGGACGACCAGCCACACUGGGACGGAGACACGGCCCAGACUCCUACGGGAGGCAGCAGUGGGGAAUUUUGGACAAUGGGCGCAAGCCUGAUCCAGCCAUUCCGCGUGCAGGAUGAAGGCCUUCGGGUUGUAAACUGCUUUUGUACGGAACGAAACGGUGAGCUCUAAUACAGUUUGCUAAUGACGGUACCGUAAGAAUAAGCACCGGCUAACUACGUGCCAGCCGCCGCAGUAA